rnacentral:lncRNA from 1 species
CGCGAGAGGUUUUCCGGCAGGAAGUCGGGCCACUUUCGGUUUCUCCCCUCCACAGCUUUCCGCGGAGAAUCCGUAUAGCCUGAAGUGAUGAAAUUCUCCAGUUUCCCAUUUGAUGGUCUCCACUGCAAAUGCCUGUUCACGCAGAUUGGAAGUGUGAAGAAGUGUACAUCAAACAAAAUGAGUAACCUCUCGUCCUUCUGCACAUAUCUCUUCAACCUUCACUAGCAC